AGUGAACGCUGGCGGUAGGCCUAACACAUGCAAGUCGAACGGCAGCACAGUAAGAGCUUGCUCCUACGGGUGGCGAGUGGCGGACGGGUGAGGAAUACAUCGGCAUCUACUUUUUCGUGGGGGAUAACGUAGGGAAACUUACGCUAAUACCGCAUACGACCUACGGGUGAAAGCAGGGGAUCUUCGGACCUUUCGCGAUUGAAUGAGCCGAUGUCGGAUUAGCUAGUUGGCGGGGUAAAGGCCCACCAAGGCGACGAUCCGUAGCUGGUCUGAGAGGAUGAUCAGCCACACUGGAACUGAGACACGGUCCAGACUCCUACGGGAGGCAGCAGUGGGGAAUAUUGGACAAUGGGCGCAAGCCUGAUCCAGCCAUACCGCGUGAGUGAAGAAGGCCUUCGGGUUGUAAAGCCCUUUUGUUAGGAAAGAAAAGCAGCAUGUGAAUACCCCGCUGUUCUGACGGUACCCAAAGAAUAAGCACCGGCUAACUUCGUG
rnacentral:rRNA from 1 species